ACGGGGUCGCAGCAGGCGCGAAAACUUUACAAUGCGGGAAACCGUGAUAAGGGAACCCCGAGUGCCUGUAUAUGCAGGCUGUCCAGGUGUCUAAAAAACACCUGAAGAAAGGGCCGGGCAAGACCCGGUGCCAGCCGCCGCGGUAAUACCCGGCGGCUCGAGUGGUGGCCACUUUUAUUGGGCUUAAAGCGUUCGUAGCUGGGUUGUUAAGUCUCUUGGGAAAUCUGACGGCUUAACCGUCCAGGCGUCUAAGAGAUACUGGUCAAUCUUGGAACCGGGAGAGGUGAGGGGUACUUCGGGGGUAGGAGUGAAAUCCUGUAAUCCUCGAGGGACCACCUGUGGCGAAGGCGCCUCACCAGAACGGAUUCGACAGUGAGGGACGAAAGCUGGGGGAGCAAACCGGAUUAGAUACCCGGGUAGUCCCAGCCGUAAACGAUGCUGCGUUAGGUGUAUCGGUGACCACGAGUCACCGAGGUG
rnacentral:rRNA from 1 species